AUUACUUCUUGGCCUUUUGGCUAAGAUCAAGUGUAGUAUAGUGCACCAAAUAUAGGGCUGAUACCACUUAUACUCAAUAAGUUUAAACUAUUAAAAGUUAAAGAUAUUAUAAUAAGCCACUGCUUAUUCCCCAGAUGUCUCCUGCCAUUGUCCUCAGUCCAAGUGCUCAAGGAAAGAUGGCUGGAUAG